GACGAACGCUGGCGGCGUGCCUAAUACAUGCAAGUAGAACGCUGAAGGAGGAGCUUGCUUCUCUGGAUGAGUUGCGAACGGGUGAGUAACGCGUAGGUAACCUGCCUGGUAGCGGGGGAUAACUAUUGGAAACGAUAGCUAAUACCGCAUAAGAGUAGAUGUUGCAUGACAUUUACUUAAAAGGUGCAAUUGCAUCACUACCAGAUGGACCUGCGUUGUAUUAGCUAGUUGGUGAGGUAACGGCUCACCAAGGCAACGAUACAUAGCCGACCUGAGAGGGGGGUCGGCCACACUGGGACUGAGACACGGCCCAGACUCCUACGGGAGGCAGCAGUAGGGAAUCUUCGGCAAUGGACGGAAGUCUGACCGAGCAACGCCGCGUGAGUGAAGAAGGUUUUCGGAUCGUAAAGCUCUGUUGUAAGAGAAGAACGAGUGUGAGAGUGGAAAGUUCACACUGUGACGGUAUCUUACCAGAAAGGGACGGCUAACUACGUG
rnacentral:rRNA from 1 species